UCUAUUCGAAGCUACGUGCAGCGCUCCAAGGAUGCCCGCAAUCUGCUAAGUUCAUAAACAUACAGGUCGCCUUAAGUUGUUGAACAGCCAUGAAUGCAGGAAAAUCGUUCGAAAGGAUAUGCACCCGAUUACGAUACGAAGAGUACUGCACAAGGUCAAAUACAAAGUGUGUGUGGCUAGACGAAAACCAUGCAUCAAAGGUGCUUAUAAAAAGAAGCGUUUGGACUACGCUAAG